rnacentral:lncRNA from 1 species
CUGUGUGGCACAUGGAGGUUCCAGGCUAGGGUCUGAUCGGAGCUACACCUGCCGGCCACAGCCACAGCCACAGCCACACCAGACCGAGUCACGUCUGCAACCCACACCACAGCUCACAGCAACGCUGGAUGCUUAACCCACUCAGCAAGGAAGACCAGGGAUCAAACCCGCAACCUCAUGGUUCGUAGUUGGAUUCGUCAGGAUCUCUGAAAGCUACUUUCAACUGGGGCAAAAGAAACACACACACACACAUAAAAUUAUAUACACAUUCAUACAAAGAAAUAAAACGGAAGUGGCAAAAUGUUGAUAACUAGUGACUCUAGGCGAAGGUAUGUGGGUUAUUCACUAUACUCUUCUCUCACUUUUCCUGUAGGUUGGGAAUUUUCAACACUUGGGGAAAAAAAAAUCAGAUCCAAUAAAAUACAUACUUCUCUCAACCAUGCAUGUCUGUACAGCACAGUAUUCAGUAUUCUGUUCCUUUUUUUUUUUUUAGAACUUACCGUAUUCGAUCCGGCAGGCUAGUUCUGUAAAUACUUGUCCUGUCCAAGGGCUUUGCAGGCAGGGCCUACUUCUCACUCGUCAGCACCAGCAGAGUAACUUACUGCAGGUUCUCAAAGAGCCUCAUCUACCAGUAGUCCUAUUAAUGCCGAAUUAAAUACGUGCUGCUUUUUCUAAGAUACCACUACUGUGGGUGAUAAUAAUGGUUUUUAAAAUACUAUAAAGCCUCACAACAGAAUUAGGUCACGACUGAUAAAUUAUACUAGAUAAUCCUACCAACCUAGGAUGAUUUUUAGACUGUUAAGUAUCUGUAAAGUUAAAUAAAAAAGAAAGGAAAAACAGGAGUUCCCAUCGUGCACAGUGGAAACAAAUCUGACUAUUCGGCCUUGCCGUGAGCUGUGGUGUAGGUCGCAGACGCGGCUCGGAUCUGACAUUGCUGUGGCUGUGGUGUAGGCGGCAGCUGUAGCUCCAAUUGGACCCCUAGCCUGGAAAACUCCAUAUGCCGUGGGUGCGGCUCUAAAAAAAAAAAAAGAAGAGAAAGAGAAAAAAGAAAAAGAAAGGUAACCAAACAAACAACCACCAUUAUGUUAAGUCUACAACCCACAUGAAAUAGCUCAUGGUUUAUCACCUCAUACAGUGUAAGUUAAAAUUUAUGUUGGUAAAAUCCACUUUAAAAUUUGUAUCCCAAGUUGGUAAUGUGUAUUCUGGAGACAUCAGGGCAAUUUUAUCAUUGAACUUCAUAGAGCAAAGUGUUCUGAUACUAGAAUAAUGGCUAUUAUAUGCUGGACAUGUAGAGGCUGGACUAGCAGAGGAGUGAGCUGAGGUAGGUUGGCAGCAUACUAGCGUAGGGUCAGCAAGCCAUGGCCACGGGCCAGAUCUGUCUGCUGCUUGUUUCCAUAUGGCCCACAACCUAGGAAUGGGUUUUCCUUGUUUUAAUGGUUAAAAAAUAAAUCAACACAAGAGU